GUGCUCACUUGAGCAGCACAUAUACUAAAAUUGGAACAAUACAGAGAAGACUAGCAUGGCCCUGUGCAAGGAUGACACGCAAAUUCGUGAAGCAUUCCAUAUUUUU
rnacentral:snRNA from 1 species